rnacentral:miRNA from 1 species
CGCCAAUUUUCGCUUCAGUGCUA